rnacentral:tRNA from 1 species
GUGCGUAUAAUUUAAAAAAAUAUUAGAUUGUGAUUCUAAAAAUGAGAGUUAAACCC